rnacentral:rRNA from 1 species
GACGAACGCUGGCGGCGUGCUUAACACAUGCAAGUCGAACGGAAAGGCCCUGCUUUUGUGGGGUGCUCGAGUGGCGAACGGGUGAGUAACACGUGAGUAACCUGCCCUUGACUUUGGGAUAACUUCAGGAAACUGGGGCUAAUACCGGAUAGGAGCUCCUGCUGCAUGGUGGGGGUUGGAACGUUUCGGCGGUUGGGGAUGGACGCGCGGCUUAUCAGCUUGUUGGUGGGGUAGUGGCUUACCAAGGCUUUGACGGGUAGCCGGCCUGAGAGGGUGACCGGCCACAUUGGGACUGAGAUACGGCCCAGACUCCUACGGGAGGCAGCAGUGGGGAAUAUUGCACAAUGGGCGGAAGCCUGAUGCAGCAGCGCCGCGUGCGGGAUGACGGCCUUCGGGUUGUAAACCGCUUUCGCCUGUGACGAAGCGUGAGUGACGGUAAUGGGUAAAGAAGCACCGGCUAACUACGUG